rnacentral:tRNA from 1 species
GCCAGCAUGGCAUAGUGGUUUGAGCGUUGGACUAUGACUCUGGAGACCAGGGUAUGAUUCCCUGCUCAGCUG